GUAUUAGGUUGGUGCAAAAGUAAUUGCAGUUUUGACUAUUACUUUUAAAUGGCAAAACCACAAUUACUUUUUCACCAACCUA
rnacentral:miRNA from 1 species